rnacentral:rRNA from 1 species
UACGUAGGGAGCAAGCGUUGUCCGGAAUCAUUGGGCGUAAAGCGCGCGUAGGCGGCCCCGUAAGUCCGCUGUGAAAGUCAAAGGCUCAACCUUUGAAAGCCGGUGGAUACUGUGGGGCUAGAGUCCGGAAGAGGCGAGUGGAAUUCCUGGUGUAGCGGUGGAAUGCGUAGAGAUCCGGAAGAACACCGGUGGCGAAGGCGGCCUGCUGGGCAGUGGCUGACGCUGAGGCGCGGACAGCGUGGGGGAGCAAACAGG